UACGUAGGGGGCUAGCGUUAUCCGGAAUUACUGGGCGUAAAGGGUGCGUAGGUGGUUUUUUAAGUCAGAGGUGAAAGGCUACGGCUCAACCGUAGUAAGCCUUUGAAACUGGGAAACUUGAGUGCAGGAGAGGAGAGUGGAAUUCCUAGUGUAGCGGUGAAAUGCGUAGAUAUUAGGAGGAACACCAGUUGCGAAGGCGGCUCUCUGGACUGUAGCUGACACUGAGGCUCGAAAGCGUGGGGAGCAAACAGG
rnacentral:rRNA from 1 species